rnacentral:rRNA from 14 species
AGCGGAGCGUUCCGUAAGCCUGCGAAGGGGGACCCGCGAGGGCCCCUGGAGGUAUCGGAAGUGCGAAUGCUGACAUGAGUAACGAUAUGCGGGUGAAAAACCCGCACGCCGUAAGCCCAAGGGUUCCUGCGCAACGAUUUUCGGCGCAGGGUGAGUCGGAUCCUAAGGCGAGGCCGAAAGGCGUAGUCGAUGGGAAUCAGGCUAAUAUUCCUGAACUUUUUACAACUGCGAUGGGGUGACGGAGAAGGUUAGGUCAGCCGGGUGUUGGAAGUCCCGGUUCAAGCGUGUAGGCAGAUCUCUUAGGCAAAUCCGGGAGGUUAAUGCUGAGACGUGAUGUCGAGGCCCCAUGUGGGCCGAAGUGAUUGAUACCAAGCUUCCAGGAAAAGCCUCUAAGCUUCAGGUUGUAGAAAUUCGUACCCUAAACCAACACAGGUGGGCGAGGAGAGUAUCCUAAGGCGCAUGAGACAACUCGGGUGAAGGAACUCGGCAAAAUAGUACCGUAACUUCGGGAUAAGGUACGCCUCUAGUAUGUGAUGGACUUCGCGUCCUGAGCAGAUGGAGGCCGCAGUGAAGAGGGGGUGGCGACUGUUUAUCAAAAACACAGCACUCUGCAAACACGAAAGUGGACGUAUAGGGUGUGACGCCUGCCCGGUGCCGGAAGGUUAAUUGAUGGGGUUAGCGCUUGCGCGAAGCUCUUGAUCGAAGCCCCGGUAAACGGCGGCCGUAACGAUAACGGUCCUAAGGUAGCGAAAUUCCUUGUCGGGUAAGUUCCGACCUGCACGAAUGGCGUAACGAUGGGGGCGCUGUCUCUACCCGAGACUCAGUGAAAUCGAAAUCGCCGUGAAGAUGCGGUGUAUCCGCGGCUAGACGGAAAGACCCCGUGAACCUUUACUACAGCUUGGCACUGAACAUUGACCCUACAUGUGUAGGAUAGGUGGGAGGCUUUGAAGCGUUGUCG